rnacentral:rRNA from 1 species
GAUGAACGCUGGCGGCGUGCCUAACACAUGCAAGUCGAACGAAGCACCUUACCGGAUUCUUCGGAUGAAAGUUUGGUGAAAGCGGCGGACGGGUGAGUAACGCGUAGGCAACCUGCCCUUAACACAGGGAUAGCCUCGGGAAACCGGGAUUAAAACCUGAUGAUGCCAAAGAGUCACAUGGCUCGUUGGCCAAAGAAUUAUCGGUUAAGGUUGGACCUGCGUCUGAUUAGUUUGUUGGUGGGGUAACGGCCUACCAAGACUACGAUCAGUAGCCGCCCUGAGAGGGUGAUCGGCCACAUUGGAACUGAGACACGGUCCAAACUCCUACGGGAGGCAGCAGUGGGGAAUAUUGCACAAUGGGCGAAAGCCUGAUGCAGCAACGCCGCGUGAGCGAUGAAGGCCUUUGGGUCGUAAAGCUCUGUCCUUGGGGAAGAAACAAAUGACGGUACCCAAGGAGGAAGCCCCGGCUAACUACGUGCCAGCAGCCGCGGUAACAC